rnacentral:rRNA from 1 species
GACGUAGGGCGCGAGCGUUGUCCGGAUUUAUUGGGCGUAAAGAGCUCGUAGGCGGCUCAUCGCGUCAACCGUGAAAACCAGCAGCUCAACUGUUGGCUUGCGGUUGAUACGGGUGGGCUGGAGUUCGGUAGGGGAGACUGGAAUUCCUGGUGUAGCGGUGAAAUGCGCAGAUAUCAGGAGGAACACCGGUGGCGAAGGCGGGUCUCUGGGCCGAUACUGACGCUGAGGAGCGAAAGCGUGGGGAGCGAACAGG